GACGGAAGGUGCAAGCGUUGCUCGGAAUCACUGGGCGUAAAGGGCGCGUAGGCGGCCCGCUAAGUCGAACGUGAAAUCCCCAGGCUCAACCUGGGAACUGCGUCCGAUACUGGCAGGCUUGAAUCCGGGAGAGGGAUGUGGAAUUCCAGGUGUAGCGGUGAAAUGCGUAGAUAUCUGGAGGAACACCGGUGGCGAAGGCGGCAUCCUGGACCGGUAUUGACGCUGAGGCGCGAAAGCUAGGGUAGCAAACGGG
rnacentral:rRNA from 1 species